AUGCAGUCGAGCGGACAGAAGGGAGCUUGCUCCCGGAUGUUAGCGGCGGACGGGUGAGUAACACGUGGGUAACCUGCCUGUAAGACUGGGAUAACUCCGGGAAACCGGAGCUAAUACCGGAUAGUUCCUUGAACCGCAUGGUUCAAGGAUGAAAGACGGUUUCGGCUGUCACUUACAGAUGGACCCGCGGCGCAUUAGCUAGUUGGUGAGGUAACGGCUCACCAAGGCGACGAUGCGUAGCCGACCUGAGAGGGUGAUCGGCCACACUGGGACUGAGACACGGCCCAGACUCCUACGGGAGGCAGCAGUAGGGAAUCUUCCGCAAUGGACGAAAGUCUGACGGAGCAACGCCGCGUGAGUGAUGAAGGUUUUCGGAUCGUAAAGCUCUGUUGUUAGGGAAGAACAAGUGCAAGAGUAACUGCUUGCACCUUGACGGUACCUAACCAGAAAGCCACGGCUAACUACGUGCCAGCAGCCGCGGUAAUACGUAGGUGGCAAGCGUUGUCCGGAAUUAUUGGGCGUAAAGGGCUCGCAGGCGGUUUCUUAAGUCUGAUGUGAAAGCCCCCGGCUCAACCGGGGAGGGUCAUUGGAAACUGGGAAACUUGAGUGCAGAAGAGGAGAGUGGAAUUCCACGUGUAGCGGUGA
rnacentral:rRNA from 1 species